rnacentral:rRNA from 1 species
AAUGAACGUUGGCGGCAUGGAUUAGGCAUGCAAGUCGAGCGAGAAGAUCAUGUUUGACACUUCGGUUGAUUUCAUGAUUGGAAAGCGGCGCAAGGGUGAGUAACGCGUAGUUAUCUGCCCCAGGGUUGGGAAUAGCCACGGGAAACUGUGGGUAAUGCCCAAUAACAUCUCCGGAUCAAAGGUGUAAUUCCGCCCUGGGAGGGGACUGCGUCCUACUAGUUUGUUGGUGGGGUAAUGGCCUACCAAGACUUCGAUGGGUAGCGGGCGUGAGAGCGUGGCCCGUCACACUGGGACUGAGACACUGCCCAGACACCUACGGGUGGCUGCAGUCGAGAAUCUUCGGCAAUGGGCGAAAGCCUGACCGAGCAAUGCCGCGUGCGGGAUGAAGGCCUUCGGGUUGUAAACCGCAAAAGUGAGUAGGAAGGGCCCGUGAAGAGCGGGUCUUGACCGAUCCACAGUAAGGACGGGCUAAGUUCG